AUACGGAGGGUGCAAGCGUUACUCGGAAUCACUGGGCGUAAAGCGCGCGCAGGCGGUCUUUUAAGUUGGAUGUGAAAGCCUACGGCUCAACCGUAGAACUGCAUCCAAAACUAUUAGACUAGAGUGUGGGAGAGGAAGAUGGAAUUAGUUGUGUAGGGGUAAAAUCCGUAGAGAUAACUAGGAAUACCAAAAGCGAAGGCAAUCUUCUGGAACACUACUGACGCCGAGGCGCGAAAGCGUGGGGAGCAAACAGGAUUAGAAACCCCAGUAGUCC
rnacentral:rRNA from 1 species